AAGGAGAGCGGUAUCGCGAGAGCGGUGGUGUGGCUCGCGACCGCAGCGCUGGAUGGGGAGGACAGAGUUGCCUGCCUGCCUGCCUGCCUGCCUGAAUGCCUGCGUGGAGUGGAGUGGAUACGCCCACGGCUCAGCCUCCUCUUUGCCGCUGAAUCACACUGUGGGACACGCGGGAGGACGGAGACCGGCGGCGCCUGGCUGCAUCCAUCCGGGGGAUCCAUGUUGGGUGAAAUAUCCGUAUGGCUGCCAAAAUAGCCAAAAUGCGUCCUCCGAUGACCGGCUGGUCGUACUAGCCCCCUCUUCCCAAGGUGGAUUCCAGACGCCAUAAGCCGCUGGACUUGGAACCAGGGAAGGCCUGCUCUGCUGCCCGGACCGGCGCCACAAGGUCCAGUGAAGAGGACAUGAGAGGACAUGGGAGCAUCUGGCCGGCCCAAACAACAAUUAUCUGACCAAAGUAGUCAACUUGCCAAAGGAAGUGACAAAGGAGUGACAAACAAACGGCAACAGAGACUCUGGCAGCAAGCACUCAGAUUCUAAAGGGGUAAAACCACCGCUGGACAGGGGCCGGCUUGUAUGGGGGCCAAAUCCCCAUCCAAGUCACAGCGCGUCUCCUCGAUCCUUCGUUCUCCUCCCUCCUCUGUCUCUGUUUUUCUCUCAAUCUCCCUCUUUUACUCUUAUGGGAGUGACAUAGAAACUGCUGCUCUGUCCGCUGCUCGGUCCCUUCCCUACCUUGCCGAGGGAACGGGAGCGUCCAGGUAGGGAUGUCGUGGAAGAGGAACUACUUUGCGUCCGGUGGCGGGGUGCAGGGGCUGGCGACCCCGAGAACCAUGACCUCCUUCGCGCCAAGCAAAGGCCUGAGCAACGAGCCGGGACAGAACAGCUGCUUUCUGAACAGCGCUCUGCAGGUUUUGUGGCAUCUGGACAUCUUCCGGAGAAGCUUUCGCCAGCUGACCACGCACAAAUGCAUGGAGGACUCGUGCAUCUUCUGCGCACUGAAGAGCAUCUUUGCCCAAUUCCAGUUCAGCAGCGAGCGUGUGCUGCCGUCAGAUGCACUGCGCAGCGCCCUGGCCAAGACUUUCCAGGGAGAGCAGCGCUUCCAGCUUGGCAUCAUGGACGACGCCGCCGAGUGCUUUGAAAAUCUUCUGAUGCGUAUCCACUUCCACAUCAGCGCCGAAAGCAGAGAGGACAUCUGCACAGCCAAACACUGCAUCCCGCACCAAAAAUUUGCCAUGACUCUGUUUGAACAGUGUGUCUGCAACAGCUGCGGAGCCACCUCGGACCCGCUACCUUUCAUUCAGAUGGUCCAUUACAUCUCCACCACCUCCCUAUGUAAUCAGGCGGUGAGGAUGCUGGAGUGCAGAGAGAAGGCCACACCGGACAUGUUUGGGGAACUUCUACGCAACGCCAGCAACAUGGGAGACCUCCGCAACUGUCCUAGUAACUGUGGCGAGGUGUUGCGUAUCCGUCGCGUGCUGAUGAACUCGCCAGAGAUUGUGUCCAUCGGGCUGGUGUGGGACUCGGACCACUCGGACCUGGCGGAGGACGUCAUACAUAGCCUGGGAACCUGCCUACGCCUGGGCGACUUGUUCUACCGUGUGACAGAGGACCGGGCUCGCCAGACAGAGCUCUACUUGGUGGGCAUGGUGUGCUACUACGGCAAGCACUACUCCACCUUCUUCUUCCAGACCAAGAUACGCAAGUGGAUGUACUUUGAUGAUGCCCAUGUCAAAGAGAUCGGCCCAAAGUGGAAGGACGUGGUGUCCCGCUGUAUCAAAGGCCAUUAUCAGCCCCUGCUGCUGCUCUACGCUGACCCCCGAGGGACGCCGGUGAUACUGCAGGAGAGCGCCAACCCCUCUACCGAAUCCAACCCUCAGCUGGAGCUCCAGCACUGCAGCAGAAGCAGCAAAGCGGGCUACGACAGCGAAGACUCUGGUCGGGAGCCGUCCAUUUCCAGCGACACCCGGACGGACUCUUCCACGGACAGCUCAAGCCACCGCGCCUCCCGCAGCCGACCCCUGCACCAAUCCACGGGCAGCCACUUGUCCAGUGAAUCGCAGACCACCGUGGUCUGUAAUUACAAGCUUGGCACGCCAUUGCACGGUGCUGACGCCAGAGAGUCAGCAGUGGAGGGUCCACCCCGACCCCCCUCUCCUCCCCUGCAGGAGUACAAGGAGACGGCCGUCUUCCUUCUAUCUUCCCGCCGCCCGCUCACCUCCUCCUCAUCCUCCUCUCGCCCCCUGUCGUCCUCCUCCUCGUCAGGGGUAGGGGGCUGUGAGGGCGGCGUUGGGGGACCUCACUGGGAGGAUGAGAGCACCAGCAGCGAGAGCAAGUCCAGUUCCUCUGGCGGCUGCUCCCGGCCAACCUGGAGGCCUCGUAGAGAAGCCCUGAACAUCGACAGCAUCUUCUCCACCCCGAACCAGAGGAUCUGCUCUCAGGGCUACCACACACUGCCGCGCCCCUCUCCCCAUCCGCCAGUACCACCUACCACGCCCACGCCGCGAGGCUCCCAACAGGCUGCGGAGCUGGAGGCAAGAUUCGGGCUGGUGAGGCAGCCCAGGUCAUCGGGUGGCGGCCGGCCCACCAUGGGCCCACCCGCUCCUCCGCCUCUGAGGGGGGUGGCGCACCAACCUCGCCUCAUUCAGAGGAUGGAGAGCGGCUAUGAGAGCAGCGAGAGGAACAGCAGCAGCCCUGACAGGGAGGUGGGGCAGCACAAACGGGUGCUGAUGUCUGGACCGUCAUGGCGUUCGGUGCCCAAGUCUAAGAGCAGUGGUGCUAUCUUGCAGGAGCUACCCUCACCUGAAUGGCGUGGGGCCACCAACACUGGGUGCACUGAGCUGGACGAGCUUCAGGAAGAGGUGGCGAGGAGAGCCCGCCAGCAGGAGCAGCAAAAGCGCAAAGAGGCAGAGCAAGAGGCGGCCAUGGGAUUCAAUCCCAAACCCAGCAAGUUCAUGGACCUGGAUCAGCUCCAGCACCAGGCUGUGCUCAGACCUGUGCAUGAGGCUAGCGGUCAUAGCAGAUUGGCUGUAGCCGCGUGCAUGAGGAGCGCCGCAGGGGACCCCGUGGUCAAACGCAGGCAGGAACAGGAAACGGAGUCAGGAAGCAGCCGCCCACAGGGGCCUUGCAGUGAACAGCCUGGACUGGUCCAAGUACUGCUGACACCCAAUCAGGAGGAGGUAGAGGACCAGGUGUCAGCCAACCAGGAGCCGCCCCCUCCGCCUCCACCCCUGCCCCCGCUCUAUCGCACCCCUGUUUCUCCUCCACGUCCCGCUGCGCUCACCCUCGGCAUCACUCACCUGAGCACCCCCUCCAACCAAGGCAGGGUCGGGGACAACGAGGGAGACAGCACGGUGGUGAGGCUGUGUGAGUUACUGCAGGCAGGGGGGGUGAGCAUCAGACCCCUGGGAAAGCACUUGGCUAUUUCUCUCCCAUCGCUUCCUCUGCGAUUUUGGGACGCACCCGUCACACAGCCUCCCCCGCCUCCCCCGCCUCCCCCGCCCCCUCCAGAACCCUCUGGACAAAGGAAACCUAUGACCCCUCUCUGGCAGCCACCCCAAACCGAUUCUACCACCACCACCGCCCCUCAGCCUUGGCAGUCCUCCAACAGCGCCACCCGCCAUUGGUCCUCCUGGAGUCUGGACCGCCCCGACGCCAUGGUGACACCCUAUGACACCCCUCCGGACCACUGUGCCCCUAUCCCACCCAGGCAGAGUGCCAGUGGGCACCCCUCUUGGGGGCACUAUAGCUCCCAGCAUGCCUUGGGGCAACACGGUGACCUCAGACGCUCUGAGCAAGAGGAAGCAGAGCUAACGGAACUUGACACCCUUUACCAGGCCAGUCUGCAGGCGGGGAGGACAGGCUGCAGCCCCUCAGAGCGGCUCAUAUCCAGGGUGGGUGGCCAGGCUCGCUCCAGAACCCCCAAUGCAGACAUGGAAAGGAGCGUGUUUGGUCCGGACAGCGCCAGCACCCCCACCUACCUCAACAAGGCAACCCCCCUCUCGACCCCACUUUUGUCUUUCCAUUGGCAGUCCCCCUUAAAGAUGUCUGUUGUUUCUCCGCAGCCAAUGGUGUUGCAGGAUCUGCGUUUGGGCACGGGGCCCGACGAGGGGGGCAACCUGAGGCGAAUUGGACGCAGCUUGAGCGGCACAGUGGUGGUGACCCCGCGCCACGGCCGCCUGACAGCGACCCGCAGCUUUGCGAAGCAGGCUGAUGUCAGUGCCUCGCAUUGCUUACUUCCUCUCUCCUGAGUCCUUGUCGCUAUUGCACCACUAUCACCUCCUCCAUCUUCUUCAUCACUUUGUCAUCACCACCUCCCUCCACUGCCUCACAGGAGUUGUCGGGCAGCGGCGGGAGCUUCUGGCUGUGUUUGACGGGGGUCAAGCUGUCCCCUGGUGACCAGAGUCCCGCCCGCCUUCACUGAUGACCACCUGGGCAUCAUCAGGUGGAUGGACAAAGCCCUUCCCUCUAUCCCC